rnacentral:rRNA from 1 species
GACGAACGCUGGCGGCGUGCUUAACACAUGCAAGUCGAACGGAAAGGCCCUGCUUUUGUGGGGUGCUCGAGUGGCGAACGGGUACGUAACACGUGAGUAACCUGCCCUUGACUUUGGGAUAACUUCAGGAAACUGGGGCUAAUACCGUAUAGGAUCUCCUGCUGCAUGGUGGGGGUUGGAAAGUUUCGGCGGUUGGGGAUGGACUCGCGGCUUAUCAGCUUGUUGGUGGGGUAGUGGCUUACCAAGGCUUUGACGGGUAGCCGGCCUGAGAGGGUGACCGGCCACAUUGGGACUGAGAUACGGCCCAGACUCCUACGGGAGGCAGCAGUGGGGAAUAUUGCACAAUGGGCGGAAGCCUGAUGCAGCAACGCCGCGUGCGGGAUGACGGCCUUCGGGUUGUAAACCGCUUGCGCCUGUGACGAAGCGUGAGUGACGGGAAUGGGUAAAGAAGCACCGGCUAACUACGUG